GACGGAGGAUGCAAGUGUUAUCCGGAAUCACUGGGCGUAAAGCGUCUGUAGGUGGUUCAAUAAGUCAACUGUUAAAUCUUGAGGCUCAACUUCAAAAAUCGCAGUCGAAACUAUUGGACUCGAGUAUAGUAGGGGUAAAGGGAAAUUUCCAGUGGAGCGGUGAAAUGCGUAGAGAUUGGAAAGAACACCAAUGGCGAAAGCACUUUACUGGGCUAUUACUGACACUGAGAGACGAAAGCUAGGGUAGCAAAUGGG
rnacentral:rRNA from 1 species